CCUACGGGAGGCAGCAGUGAGGAAUAUUGGGCAAUGGGCGCAAGCCUGACCCAGCAAUGCCGCGUGAAGGAAGAAGGCUUUCGGGUUGUAAACUUCUUUGACAGGGGAAGAGCAGAAGACGGUACCCUGAAAACAAGCCACGGCUAACUACGUGCCAGCAGCCGCGGUAAUACGUAGGUGGCAAGCGUUUUCCGGAUUUACUGGGUGUAAAGGGCGUGUAGGCGGGAAGGGAAGUCAGAUGUGAAAUCCGGAGGCUCAACCCCCGAAUUGCAGUUGAAACUGGUUUUCUUGAGUACUGGAGAGGCAGACGGAAUGCCUUGUGUAGCGGUGAAAUGCGUAGAUAUAACGAGGAACACCAGUGGCGAAGGCGGCAUGCCGGACAGCAACUGACGGUGAGGCGCGAAAGCGUGGGUAGCAAACAGGAUUAGAUACCCUAGUAGUC
rnacentral:rRNA from 1 species